UAGCGUAUAUUAAAGUUGUUGCGGUAAAAAAGCUCGUAGUUGGAUUUCUGUUGAGAACGACCGGUCCACACAUCGUGUGAGCAUCUGGUUCGAUCUCGGCAUUCUCUCGAUGGACGUCUGCGCUUGAUUGCGUGGUCGGACUCGGGACUUUUACUUUGAGGAAAUUAGAGUGUUCACAGCAGGCCUACGCCCGAAUACGUUAGCAUGGAAUAAUACUAUAGGAUCUUGAUUCUAUUUUGUUGGUUUCUAGGAUUAAGAUAAUGAUUAAUAGGGACAAUUGGGGGCAUUCGUAUCAACACGUC
rnacentral:rRNA from 1 species